GACGAACGCUGGCGGCGUGCUUAACACAUGCAAGUCGAACGGAAAGGCCCUGCUUGCUGGGUGCUCGAGUGGCGAACGGGCGAGUAACACGGGGGUGAUCUGCCCCUUACUUUUUGAUAAGCCUGUGAAACUGGGUCUAAUACUGGAUAGGACCAUGCUGUAGGUGGUGUGGUGGCGAGAUUAGUUUCGGUAAGGGAUGAGCUCGCGGCCUAUCAGCUUGUUGGUGGGGUAAUGGCCUACCAAGGCGUCGACGGGUAGCCGGCCUGAGAGGGUGGGAGGCCACAUUGGGACUGGGAUACGGCCCAGACUCCUACGGGAGGCAGCAGUGGGGAAUACGGCACAAUGGGCGCACGCCUGAUGCAGCGACGCCGCGGGGGGGAGGAUGGCCUUCUGGUUGUAAACGCCGUUCAGCCAUGACGAAGCCCGUGUGGUGACGGUAGUGGAAGAAGAAGCACCGGCUAACUACGUG
rnacentral:rRNA from 1 species